rnacentral:misc_RNA from 1 species
CAGAGUUGCAAGACUCCCUAAACCAUUGUGAACCUACCUUCUACCGUUGCUUCGGCGGGCGGGCCCAGCGCCCCCCCGGCCCCCCGCGGGCGCCCAGCCGGAAGGAUACCCAAACUCUUGACAUUAGUGGCCUCUCUGAGUAUUCUUUACUGAAUAAGUCA